UACGUAGGUGGCAAGCGUUGUCCGGAUUUACUGGGCGUAAAGGGCGUGCAGGCGGUCUGUUAAGUGCAGGGUGAAAGCUCCCGGCUCAACUGGGAGAGGUCCUUGCAUACUGGCGGACUUGAGGGGGGUAGAGGAAAGUGGAAUUCCCGGUGUAGUGGUGAUAUGCGUAGAUAUCGGGAGGAACACCUGUGGCGAAGGCGGCACUCUGGGACGGUACUGACGCUGAGACGCGAAAGCGUGGGGAGCGAACAGG
rnacentral:rRNA from 1 species